rnacentral:rRNA from 1 species
UCCUGGCUCAGGAUGAACGCUGGCGGCGUGCCUAACACAUGCAAGUCGAACGAAGCACUGCAACCGGAAUUCUUCGGAAGGAAAGAUGCAGUGACUGAGUGGCGGACGGGUGAGUAACGCGUGGGCAACCUGCCUUACACAGGGGGACAACAGCUGGAAACGGCUGCUAAUACCGCAUAUGCGCACAGGGCCGCAUGGUCUGGUGCGGAAAACUCCGGUGGUGUAAGAUGGGCCCGCGUCUGAUUAGGUAGUUGGCGGGGUAACGGCCCACCAAGCCGACGAUCAGUAGCCGGCCUGAGAGGGUGGACGGCCACAUUGGGACUGAGACACGGCCCAAACUCCUACGGGAGGCAGCAGUGGGGGAUAUUGCACAAUGGGCGCAAGCCUGAUGCAGCGACGCCGCGUGAGCGAAGAAGUAUUUCGGUAUGUAAAGCUCUAUCAGCAGGGAAGAAAAUGACGGUACCUGACUAAGAAGCUCCGGCUAAAUACGUG